UACGGGCAGACUAGAGUGUGGUAGGGGAGAUCGGAAUUCCUGGUGUAGCGGUGAAAUGCGCAGAUAUCAGGAGGAACACCGGUGGCGAAGGCGGAUCUCUGGGCCAUUACUGACGCUGAGGAGCGAAAGCAUGGGGAGCGAACAGGAUUAGAUACCCUGGUAGUCCACGCCGUAAACGGU
rnacentral:rRNA from 1 species